ACGUAGGAGGCAAACGUUAUCAGGAUUUACUGGGCGUAAAGCGCGUGUAGGUGGUUCUGUAAGUAGGGCGUGAAAGCUCCUGGCUCAACUGGGAGAGGCCGUUCUAAACUGCAGAGCUAGAGGAUGGUAGAGGGAGGUGGAAUUCCGGGUAUAGUGGUGGAGCGCGCAGAUCUCCGGCGGAACACCGGUUUCGAACGAAGCGGACUGGUCGAGUCCUGAGACUCAGACGGGAAAGCCAGGGUACCAAACGG
rnacentral:rRNA from 1 species